AGGAUGAACGCUGGCGGCGUGCCUAAUGCAUGCAAGUCGCACGGUCGGGCUUCGGCCCGGUAGUGGCGAACGGCUGAGGAACACGUACGAACCUACUCCUGUGUGGGGGACAACUCGGCGAAAGCCGCGCUAAUCCCGCAUACGCUCUUCGGAGGAAAGCGCCAGCAAUGGCGCGCACAGGAUUGGGCGUGCGGCCCAUCAGGUAGUUGGUGAGGUAAUGGCCCACCAAGCCGGUGACGGGUCGCUGGUCUGAGAGGACGACCAGCCAGACUGGGACUGUGACACGGCCCAGACUCCUACGGAGGCAGCAGCAAGGAAUUUUCGGCAAUGGGCGCAAGCCUGACCGAGCAACGCCGCGUGGAGGAUGACGGCUUUCGGGUUGUAAACUCCUUUUGCCAGGGAAGAUACGGACGGUACCUGGCGAAUAAGCCCGGCUAACUCUGCGCCAGCAGCCGC
rnacentral:rRNA from 1 species